rnacentral:misc_RNA from 1 species
AACAUUGCUCUACUGUAUAACUAUGAUUAGGCGCCUAAUAUACGUUUUUUUUGUUUAUAAAUAUUUUUAAUUUGUACACUAACGGAAAAAAACAUAAUUUACCCAAAACUAAUAGUUGCAAAAAUCUAGUAGUUUUAACAUUUUUUUAUUAUAACGUGAAAUUAAUGCCAAAUGGUAUUGUCUGAUAAAGAAGCUAUUAGUCAAAGUAAAUUACUAUACUGUUCAAGAAAAACAAUGUUUAAUAGCCCAAGCAAAUAUGCACCAAAUGAAAAUCAAUUUCCUGAUAAAGAAGAGAAACAGAAAAAAGUUUUAGGAUUUUUAGAAGUUAAAGAGGAGUUUUUACAAAAAGAACCUGAAGAGACUGAUAAACAAAAUCUGCUGCUUAAGAAACAAAAGGUUUUAGAAGAUACAAUUUUACAUUAUGAAAGUAAUUUAAUGAAUGAUGAAGUUAAAAGAAGAAUUAAAACAAUAAAAAAAACCUAUGAAUGUCAGUUAGAAGAUAAACGGAAGUUAAUUAGAGAACUUCAACACUUAGUAAAUGUACUGGAAACUGAUAUGAAAGAAAUCAUAAAUAAAAAGGAAAGUACAGAAGUGGUUUUUAACAUUUCUGAUCUUGUAAAAAGAUUUUCAAUGGAAGUAAAUGAUCUUAGUAUAAGCAAAUCAAAAUUAAUAGCUACUGUUUCUAAUCUGGAAAACAAGGUAGAAAUGCAGAAGAAAGAAAUUGACGACUUAAACAAUAUUAUUCGGAAUGAGUAUGUUGCCAAGGAAGAUUAUGAAUUUCUUCAAUCAGAAAAAUAUUUGUUUUUUCAAAACUUGGAGUCAUAUAAAAAGAUUGCAGGGGAUAGCCUAAUUCAAGUAAAUAAUAUAAAAAAACAAAUGAAAGAGUUGCAAGAACAAUUUGUUAAUAAAGAACAAGAAUAUUCUGUUCAGAUGCUAUCUUUAAAAAAUGAAAACCGUUUAUUGAAAAAAAAGUUUCAUGAAGUUGAAGAAAAGUAUAUGCUAAUGGCAUUUACACCUGCUAAAAUUCGAACUGUUGUUGAUGAAGAAACAGAACAAAAAAUUAUAAAAAUGAGAUCAGAAAAGUUACGAUUAGAAGAAGAAAAACAUAAUUUAAAAAAGUUGCAUAGAAGAGAGUUAACACUUCUAACUACUGAAUUAGAAAUAUUAAACGUAAAGAAUGUUAAACUAGAGACAGAGAUAAUAAAAAAAGAUGAAGAAAUUCAAAAGGUAAUACAACAAAUGAAACAACAAGAAAUUAGUUUUAAAGAGGAUGCUAUUAAGCAAGUAAACGAAAAGACUGUUACUCAAGAAAAAAAAAUUCAAGCUUUAAUUUUGUUUCAUGACACAUUUUUUAAAAAACUGAAAGAUUUAUCAAAUGAAUUGCAUACAAUUAAGGAAGAAAAAGAAGCGAUAUCUGGCCAAAUUGUAUUUUUCAUAAAUUUUAUUAAAUCUUCUUUGAUAAACGUAAAAGCAAUGUUUUUAAAUGAAGUGAAAGAAACUGAUAGGCGUUCUCAAAUACUUGUAAAACAAUAUGCAAAAGAGAUCGAGGUUCGCAAACACCUUCAUAAUCAACUCAUUGAACUUAGAGGAAACAUUCGUGUUUUUUGUCGUGUUCGUCCUGUUAUCAAAGAAGAUGGAGAUAAUUCUAAAAAUGUGAUUACAUUUGAUUCUGAUGACAGUUCAAUAAUUAAAGUAGAACAUAAAUUAGUAAAACGCUUGUUUAAAAUGGAUAAAGUUUUUAAUGGGUCUACAUCACAAGCUGAGAUUUUUAGUGAUGUUGAGAGCCUGGUUACUUCAUGUUUGGAUGGUUACAAUGUAUGCAUAUUUGCUUAUGGGCAAACAGGUAGUGGAAAAACAUAUACAAUGGAGGGAACACUUUCAGAUCCUGGCAUUAACCAACAAGCUUUGUCUUUAUUGUUUAAAGAGUGCAAAGAGAAAAUUGAUUGGAAGUAUUCUAUUUGUGUUAGUUAUAUGGAAAUUUACAAUGAAAUGAUAAGAGAUUUGCUAUGUUCUUGUCCUACUGAAAAAUUAGAGGUCAAGCAGAGUAAGGAAGGCACAUAUGUACCAGGAUUAACAAGCAUAGAAGUAGAAAAUGUUUACAAUGUCAAUGAGUUGUUCAACUUUAUGUUAUAGUUGUUCAACUUAGGCAAAAGAAAUCGAAUUACUGCUGCUACUGAUAUGAAUGCUCAUUCAAGUCGAUCCCAUUCUGUUCUUGUGAUCAAUGUUUCCGGGACAAAUAAGAAUGCAAAUAUCAAAGUUUCAGGCAAACUUAACUUAGUUGAUCUAGC